CUGCAGUGAUGACUUUCUUAGGACACCUUUGGAUUAAAGAUGAAACGACCGAGAGUGACUGAGCAGC
ensembl:snoRNA SNORD58 Small nucleolar RNA SNORD58